GGAUUAGAUACCCUGGUAGUCCACGCUGUAAACGAUGCUAACUCGUUUUUGGGUUUUCGGAUUCAGAGACUAAGCGAAAGUGAUAAGUUAGCCACCUGGGGAGUACGAACGCAAGUUUGAAACUCAAAGGAAUUGACGGGGGCCCGCACAAGCGGUGGAUUAUGUGGUUUAAUUCGAUGAUACGCGAGGAACCUUACCAAGGCUUAAAUGGGAAUUGAUCGGUUUAGAAAUAGACCUUCCUUCGGGCAAUUUUCAAGGUGCUGCAUGGUUGUCGUCAGCUCGUGCUG
rnacentral:rRNA from 1 species